rnacentral:lncRNA from 10 species
CAGAGACUACGGGACCUAUCAGGAAGGAGUGGGGAAGAGGUUCUGGGGAAAUCAGAGGAUGUAGUGGCUGUAAAUCUGCUGUGCUUGUUUAGAAGGGAGUGUGGCUGGACAGAGCUGAAUGUGGUAUAGAACACCAAAAGUGGAUACUAUGUUGGAUUACAGUGCAUGACUUGAGCCUGAAUAUGCUCGGGAAAUUUAUGAAGGUUAUUGCUUGGUUAAUGGUUCCUUGGAGUCUCAGAAAAACCCAGUGAAUCCAGUCUCAAGUGAACCCAGUGAUGGUAUCAACUUUUAAAGAGAAGUUCAAACCAUGGAUUCCAAGUACUCGGACCAAAACACAGUAGAGUAUGGUUAAUUCAGCUAAUUGGGCUACUCCACAGGAGCUCAUUCUAAGGAUUAUGGAGAUAAACCAUGGAAAGGGGUUUCCAGGAGAUGCUGCAAUUGCUGGUCCAGGAAACAUGCUUUAAGAACUGCUGACCUAGGAUGUUGCGGUGCAUUUUCCCAUAAGUAACAAAUACCUAGCAAACAAUACCACUGAAAAUAUUGAAAAUACACUACAUUUACCUCGUUAAGUUCUUUCAUUAUGCUUUUCUCAAGUUUUAUCUCCAUUUCCAGUAAAAUAAUAGCCCCAUUGAAUCAGACUGAAAGUAUUAAUAUUUUAGUUAAUCUUCAGCGUAUUUUGUGCUAUAGCUUCCUAGCUCUGAUCAUGAGAUCAUUUUCAGUUGAGUCCAUGACUGAGAGUAUUUGUCCCAAUACUUACUGCUAUUUGAACAUGAUGAGUCUGUAGAUAGUACUUUAAUUCCUUUGUGUGUCUUUUUUUAAUUAAAAAGGAAAAUCAUAAAUACCCAGACUUUUUCAAAAAUUCAAAUAUUCUCCAAAAGAGGUGAUUUAAACCAGAAGAAAGGACAACGGCAGACCUCUGUUACUUAGUUUCCCACCCAUGUAUGAGGAGCACAUAUGUUGUGAAUUAAGUUAUUUUCAGAAUAUUUCACUUUUUCACACUUCAGGGAGGCCAUAUAUAUUUUAAUAAAUCUCCAGACAAACUAUGGUAAUUCUCUCUGAAGAUGAACUUACCACAGUAAUAGAAAUUAUAAAUAAAAAUUUUUUUGAUGAUGAAAGAAAAUGAUAUAUACCUGAGACUACACCAGGUGGAAUAGGAACACCUAGAAG